CCUACGGGAGGCAGCAGUGGGGAAUAUUGCACAAUGGGGGAAACCCUGAUGCAGCGACGCCGCGUGGGUGACGAAGUAUUUCGGUAUGUAAAGCCCUAUCAGCAGGGAAGAAGAUGACAGUACCUGACCAAUAAGCCACUGCUAACUACGUGCCAGCAGCCGAGGUAAUACGUAGGGGGCAAGCGUUAUCCGGAUUUACUGGGUGUAAAGGGAGCGGAGGUGGCAUGGCAAGCCAGAAGUGAAAACCCGGGGCUUAACCCCGCGGAUUGCUUUUGGAACUGUCAAGCUGGAGUGCAGGAGAGGUAGGCGGAAUUCCUGGUGUAGCGGUGAAAUGCGUAGAUAUCAGGAGGAACACCGGUGGCGAAGGCGGCCUGCUGGACUGAAACUGACACUGAGGCUCGAAAGCGUGGGGAGCAAACAGGAUUAGAUACCCUAGUAGUC
rnacentral:rRNA from 1 species